rnacentral:rRNA from 1 species
GACGUAGGAUGCAAGCGUUGUCCGGAUUUAUUGGGCGUAAAGAGUUCGUAGGUGGUUCAUUAAGUUUGGUGUAAAAGACUGGGGCUCAACUCCGGGAUCGCACUGAAUACUGGUGGACUAGAGUGCAGUAGAGGCAAGCGGAAUUCCCAGUGUAGCGGUGAAAUGCGUAGAUAUCGGGAAGAACACCCGUGGCGAAGGCGGUUCUCUGGGACGGUA